rnacentral:rRNA from 1 species
UACGUAGGGAGCAAGCGUUGUCCGGAAUCAUUGGGCGUAAAGCGCGCGUAGGCGGCCCCGUAAGUCCGCUGUGAAAGUCAAAGGCUCAACCUUUGAAAGCCGGUGGAUACUGUGGGGCUAGAGUCCGGAAGAGGCGAGUGGAAUUCCUGGUGUAGCGGUGGAAUGCACAGAUAUCAGGAGGAACACCGAUGGCGAAGGCAGGUCUCUGGGCUGACACUGACGCUCAUGCACGAAAGCGUGGGGAGCAAACAGG